UACAGAGGUCCCAAGCGUUACUGAGAAUCACUGGGUUUAAAGGGUGCGUAGGUGGUCCGUUAAAUCAGUUGUGAAAUCCCCGGGCUCAACCCGGGAAAUGCUUCUGAUACUGGCGGACUUGAGGCCAGUAGGGGUCACUAGAACUGACGGUGGAGCGGUGAAAUGCGUAGAUAUCGUCAGGAAUGCCGGUGGUGAAGACGGGUGACUGGGCUGGUUCUGACACUGAGGCACGAAAGCGUGGGGAGCGAACGGG
rnacentral:rRNA from 1 species